rnacentral:tRNA from 1 species
AAGAUCAUAGCUUAAUGGUUAAAGCAUGCCCUUCAUAAUGGUUGUAUAGAAGUUCAAUUCUCCUUGAUCUUA